rnacentral:snoRNA from 1 species
AUCGUUUUUUUGGUUCAUAAGCAUGAUUGGGUGCUCAUGCCAUUGAUGACGUGUGCCUCCCCUUAACCUUGUUCAGACUUGGGCACAUUACUCAUCUAAAC